GCUUACUAAGCCGUGCAACAUCGGGUUCCGGGAAGACCGCGCCUCACUGGAGGCCUUGACCCCGGGCGGGACCGCGGAGGUCGCCAGUGCGCCUGCGCAAACCUCGAGGCCCGCUGUCCGCCCUUCCGUUUCAGAUGGACAACAAAGGGACUCAGCCAUGCAUAUGCGUGUAUCCAUUCUGCCAUGCCAAAUCUUCUCAAGUUUAUCAAGAGUUAAGAUGAAAAAGGAAAUGAGGCUUUCUGGAGAAAUAUAAUGUAUUUGAUAACAAAUACAUGAGGUAUGUUUGUUUUUGGAAAUGGAAUUUGCUCCAAAUAUGGUAAAUAAGCACAUUAGUCAUACUUAACAUACCACUCUAAUCUAUGCCAAAACUAACUGACCUGCUAAACCAGUGUUGUGUUAUUUUAAUUCUUCACUGUGGUCGAGAUUCUUUCAUUACUUAGAAAGCACUAAAUUCCUGUCUUAGCUUUAUCUUUACAGAUCCCCUGCAAAAAUCAUUGCCUGAAACUACCCAGAUAUUCAUCAGUGGGUGAAUGAGCAAAUGCUGUGUGCAUGUGUGUAUAUGACUAUUAUUCUUCACGUUAAGUGAAAGAAGACAGACAUAAAAGGGCACAUAUUGUGUAACCCCAUUUAUACACAUUUCAGUCAGAAUAAGCCAAUCUGUAGACACAGAAAGCUGAUUGGUGGUUGCCGACUGGGGGGCGGGGAGAAUGGGGAGUGAUUGCUUAAUAGGUAUGGGUGAUGAAAGUGGAACUUGAUAUGGGUGGUGAUUGUUCCACACUGUGAAUGUACUAAAUGAAACUUAAGCGUACACUUUCACAAGGUCAAUCUUAUGUUAUGUGAAUUUCACUUCAGUGGGGAAAAAAGAAAAAACAUUGCCUGUGGUGCAGCAGAUUCAACUAUAACGCGAAGCUUACUGUCUUAAGGGCUGGGGAUCUAGCAGCGAACAAGACACGCAGGCUCUGACCUCCCAGAGCCUGCAGUUUAACGUGGACACAAACAACUCUGUAAACAAAUAUUUGUUGAGCUGAACUGAAAUAACGUAAAAGCUCCGGGAGCUGGUGAUGGACAGAGAAGCCUGGCAUGCUGCAGUCCAUGGGGGUCGCAAAGAGUUGGACACGACUGAGCGACUAAACUGAACUGAAGGUCAAAUGAUGAUACCUGCUAUGAGAAAGAACCAAGCAAGACAAGGGACAGAGAUAAAGCCUGUGCUCCCCAACAAGAGAAGCCACCAUAAGGAGCCCAACAAGAGAAGUCACCUUAAGGAGAAGGCUGAGUACCACAACGAAGAGUAGCCCGCACUAGCUACAACUAGAGAAAGCCCAUGAGAGGCAACGAAGACCCUGCACAGCACCCUUUCCUCCCCCCAAAAGCUACACAUUGGACUAUUCCGAAGAUUCUGCAUGUAGGGGAUAGACAAUGAUUUUUAUUUCUCAGUAAUCAUUAAGACUGACAAGAAGAGGCCUUUCUACCUCUCCGUCUACUUAGGACCUCAGGGACAACUGAAGCCUCCAGGGCGGGUAUUGCAACAGAAGGAGAAGGAGGGAACAAUGACGAUGAAGACAGUCUCUGGACUCAGAGCACUUCUUGCAACUGCCAUAUGACUCAUUUACGUGUCUGCCAUUGUGCUGCAUUUCUCCAAAGAAACAGAACUGAUAGGAUAUGACAUACACACACAUACAUCUGCUGCUGCUGCUGCUAAGUUGCUUCAGCCGUGUCCGACUCUGUGUGACCCUAUAGACGGCAGCCCACCAGG